rnacentral:rRNA from 1 species
GAUGAACGCUGGCGGCGUGCCUAAUACAUGCAAGUAGAACGCUGAAGGAGGAGCUUGCUCUUCUGGAUGAGUUGCGAACGGGUGAGUAACGCGUAGGUAACCUGCCUGGUAGCGGGGGAUAACUAUUGGAAACGAUAGCUAAUACCGCAUGACAACAGUUAUUGCAUGAUAACUGUUGAAAAGGGGCAACUGCUGCACUACCAGAUGGACCUGCGUUGUAUUAGCUAGGUGGUGAGGUAACGGCUCACCAAGGCGACGAUACAUAGCCGACCUGAGAGGGGGCUCGGCCACCCUGGGACUGUGACCCGGCCCAGACUCCUUCGGGAGGCAGCAGUAGGGCAUCUUCGUCCAUGGGCGGAAGUCUGACCGAGCAACGCCGCGUGAGUGAAGAAGGUUUUCGGAUCGUAAAGCUCUGUUGUAAGAGAAGAACGAGUGUGAGAGUGGAAAGUUCACACUGUGACGGUAUCUUACCAGAAAGGGACGGCUAACUACGUG